UUUAAAUUGAAAAAGUAGACCACUCUGGUUGCGCCCGACAGGGACAGGCAUCUGAUUGGCUGAGCAGCAAAUCUCGAAUCAUGUGCCCUCUUGGACCGGAGUGCAACAGUUUAUUUUUAUCGGUUCUAACACAGGGAUUCCCAAAUUAUUACAAUAUAUGGCUACAGUGAUUAGUCUAUACAAAUGCUUAAGUAUUUUAUUAUUUGGAAAAGCCUAAAUGUUAAAAGCAUUAAUAAAAUAUAUUUCUUUGCAGACUUCAAGAGAAUCAAACUGUGAAGAUCACGUUUUAUUCGUUUGAAAAAGGUUGCCAUGGUUGCAGAAAUUGGAGGAGCGUCCUUAGAUGACGCAAUACGACGAGCUAUGGGAUUCCUCAUGUCCCAUGAAUUGGCAUUGCAGUUCAACCUUUUUGGCCGACAUGGGAAACACAAGUUCCGGGACCUGCGUCUCUUUGAUGUUGUCCAUGGAGCACUUAAAAGAAAUGGAUCCAUCCACGGAAUCACCCACAAAGAUACCGAAAAGGCACUAUCAAAGUGGUUUACUGGAGCCCGUGACAGAGGUGGAAAUCGAAAGGUUCGAGCGACUAAGGAGGCUGCCAGUUCACAUUCAGG